rnacentral:rRNA from 1 species
GACGAACGCUGGCGGCGUGCUUAACACAUGCAAGUCGAGCGGUAAGGCCCCUUCGGGGGUACACGAGCGGCGAACGGGUGAGUAACACGUGAGCAAUCUGCCCAUCACAUCGGGAUAACUCCGGGAAACCGGAGCUAAUACCGAAUACGACCACCUCAGGCAUCUGACGGUGGUGGAAAGUUCCGGCGGUGAUGGAUGAGCUCGCGGCCUAUCAGCUUGUUGGUGGGGUAAUGGCCUACCAAGGCUUCGACGGGUAGCCGGCCUGAGAGGGUGACCGGCCACACUGGGACUGAGGCACGGCCCAGACUCCUACGGGAGGCAGCAGUGGGGAAUAUUGGACAAUGGGCGAAAGCCUGAUCCAGCAACGCCGCGUGAGGGAUGACGGCCUUCGGGUUGUAAACCUCUUUCAGCGCCGACGAAGCGAAAGUGACGGUAGGCGCAGAAGAAGCACCGGCCAACUACGUGCCAGCCGCCGCAGUAAGAC